rnacentral:rRNA from 1 species
UCCGUAGGGGGCAAGCGUUGCCCGGAUUUAUUGGGCGUAAAGAGCGUGUAGGCGGUUUGGUAGGUCCGCUGUGAAAACUCGAGGCUCAACCUCGAGACGCCGGUGGAAACCAUCAGGCUAGAGUCCGGAAGAGGAGAGUGGAAUUCCUGGUGUAGCGGUGAAAUGCGCAGAUAUCAGGAAGAACACCCGUGGCUAAGGCGGCUCUCUAGUACGGUACUGACGCUGAGACGCGAAAGCGUGGGGAGCGAACAGG